UUCAAAUCGCUUAGUUGUCUAAGCAAGUGUUCUUCUCGUUGCAGCUCUCCGAGGAUAUUGAGUGGCAUUUCAUUGGGAACCUGCAAAGCAACAAAGCCAAAGCCCUCCUAGCUGGUGUGCCAAAUCUUGACAUGGUUGAGAGCGUAGAUGAUGAGAAGAUUGCUAAUCGUCUUGAUCGAGUGGUAGCUGAUUUGGGGAGAAAACCUCUUAAGAUCUUGGUCCAAGUCAACACAAGUGGAGAAGAAUCCAAAUUUGGAGCGGAUCCUUCAGGGUGUGCAGGAUUAGCAAAG